rnacentral:lncRNA from 1 species
CCCCACCAAACCCUUCAAUCCCAAACUCCUACCCAAACUCCCCAAUCGGUUUUCUUCGUCUUCUCCAACGCAAACCCUUGAACCGCCUCCCGAUCGGCGGAGCCCCGCGAUCGAGCUCUCGCCGACGAGUCCCGGAGAUCCGGGGCCCGAUUUCGCGCUAUCGAUCGGUGCGAGAUCGAUCACGAGAUCGCGAUUGGCGAGGGAGAAGGGGGGCGCGAUCGAGCGAGCGACCGAUCGAUCGAUCGAGGGUUUCCCCAGCCGCGAUCUUUUCCCUUCUUUUAUUGCGUCUUCCUCGCUGUGGGCCUCGUGGCGUUCUACCGCCGCGGAGAGAGGAAGAGAGAGAAAGAGAAAGAGAGAGAGAGAGAGAGGAGAGAGACAAAAAAAUGGAAAA